rnacentral:lncRNA from 1 species
GGAAACUGUUGCGAGCGCAAAGCUCCCCUCUACACCUGAGCGGGGGACAGAUGUGCAUCAAUAUUUAUUCGGAACUCCCAGGAAACCUGGAUGAAGUGUAAUUAUCUCAGCUCAAUCAGCUUGGAUUAGCAUAACAUCAAGUCACCCAUCAGACGGAGGGUUUGAUUUCGGGGAUCAAAGCGACGGCUGUAGCCGCUGAUUAA